AGGUGAUGAUUUCCAUUCUGCAGGCCUGGAGUACCGAGGCCAGUUCUGGUGUAUCAUUUCAGAAUUAUUUCCUGAUAUAGUACCAAUCCAUACAUUUCAGUCACGAGCUUGAAUUUAUUUCAAAUAGAAACUAAUCAAUCAACCUUCUUCUCUCUGAGAACAUAUGUAUGUAAUAUAUGCUCUCCCUGUUGCUGUGUUGCUGGCAAUUGCCUGUUAAGAUAUUGAUGACGUUUCCCCCUCCGCAGCGACAGCGACGUGCCAGACAGUUGGGUGCAGGAGUGCUAAGGAGCUGGGUGCCACAGCCCCAGAGAGCUUUGACCUCCUGUGGCCUACGACCAUGCUGCUCUUGUGUGAUGAUGUGGUGACUGAGGUUUUGUUUUUCAGCAAAAGGCAUGCUGCAGGCCUUUCAAGGUCGUGGAGAAGCUGGAAUCGUUCUGCCCGGAGUUCAGUCCAGCUGCUCCGUGUCGGGUGUGGGAUAUGCUGCUGCUGGAGCCCACUGGGAGGAGCCUUUGUGUACCAGUCCUGCGUGAGCCCCAGGGAGUAGAUUAAUAGAGCUCCCGUUGCUGUCUCUGUGAAAGAAGAGGAACUGGGACUCUUCCUGAGAGAGAGGUGGGGCGCAGUGAGGCAGAAGAGAGAACAGAAGGUGUGGUGGUUUUUGUUCAGAUGGG
rnacentral:lncRNA from 1 species